rnacentral:rRNA from 1 species
UACGUAGGAUGCAAGCGUUGUUCGGAAUUACUGGGCGUAAAGAGUACGUAGGCGGUUUGGUAAGUCUGAUAUUAAAGACUGGGGCUCAACUCCAGGAGUGUAUCGGAAACUGUCAGACUAGAGGACAAUAGAGGAAGUCGGAAUUCUCAGUGUAGCGGUGAAAUGCGUAGAUAUUGGGAAGAACACCAGUGGCGAAAGCGGACUUCUGGGUUGUUACUGACGCUGAGGUACGAAAGCGUGGGGAGCAAACGGG